rnacentral:rRNA from 1 species
UACGUAGGGUCCGAGCGUUGUCCGGAAUUAUUGGGCGUAAAGAGCUCGUAGGCGGUUUUGUCGCGUCUGCUGUGAAAAUCCCCGAGGCUCAAACCUCGGGGUCUGCAGUGGGGUACGGGGCAGACUGGGAGUGCGGUAGGGGGGGAGAAAUGGAAAUUUCCCUGGUGUAGCGGGUGGAAUGCGCAGAGAUCGGGGAGGAACACCCCGUAGCGAAAGGCGGGCACUCUGGGGCCGGUACUGACGCUGAGGAGCGAAAAGCGUGGGGGGAG